AAGUCGUAACAAGGUCUACCGUAAGGUGGAACCGUGCGGAGGGAUCCAAUUGACCGAGUGUGGGGGCCCCCGGUGCCCAACCUCCCAACCCUUUGUCGAUUCAUAUCUGUUGCCUCGGGGGGCGACCCGGACUCGCGCCGGGAGUCCCCCAGAGGUCCAACCAAAUACACUGCGUCUUUGCGUCGAGUAUUGAAAAACAAUCAAUCAAA
rnacentral:misc_RNA from 1 species